UCAAGACUUAACGGUGCUCCGCGACCGAGUCUCCCAUUGGAAUUCGAAAUCGAGAAGACUUGUUGAAACCUGUAAAGACAUGUCGGCGUUUCGCGACCAACGAAUCUCUGAUUGAAAUUCGACGCCAUGGAGAAUUCUAUUGGCGCGUAAGGUACGCCAUUACAGAUGGCAGACGAGUCGACAAAUUCUGGAGGGAG